GCACCUGUAGCUCAGCUGGAUAGAGUAACGGCCUCCGAAGCCGUAGGUCGCGCGUUCGAAUCGCGCCAGGUGCGCCA
rnacentral:tRNA from 1 species